AGGAUAAACGCUGGCGGCGUGCCUAACACAUGCAAGUCGAACGCCCUUUUCUGCCGCAAGGUGGAAGAGGGAGUGGCGGACGGGUGAGGAACACGUGGGUGACCUACCUUUCAGUGAGGAAUACCGGCGAGAAAUCGCCGACAAGACCGCAUAGCCUCGGUGCAAGCCGAGGAAAGCUUUCUCGCAAGAGGGAGCGCCACACGAGGAGCCUGCGCCCGAUUAGCUAGCUGGUGGAGUAACGGUUCACCAGGGCGACGAUCGGUAGC
rnacentral:rRNA from 1 species